GGGCCCGCACAAGCAGCGGAGCGUGUGGUUUAAUUCGAUGCAACGCGCAGAACCUUACCUCGGCUUGACAUGCACGUGGUACCGCGGCGAAAGCCAAGGGACCCGCGAGGGAGCGUGCACAGAUGCUGCAUGGCUGUCGUCAGCUCGUGCCGUGAGGUGUUGGGUUAAGUCCCGCAACGAGCGCAACCCUUGUCCUUAGUUGCCUUCUCUAAGGAGACCGCCGGUCUAAACCGGAGGAAGGUGGGGAUGACGUCAAGUCAGCACGGCUCUUACGUCGAGGGCUACACACACGCUACAAUGGCCGGUACAACGGGCUGCGAAGGGGCGACCUGGAGCCAAUCCCACCAAAGCCGGUCUCAGUUCGGAUUGCAGGCUGCAACUCGCCUGCAUGAAGUCGGAGUUGCUAGUAACUGCUGGUCAGCACACAGCAGUGAAUACGUUCCCGGGCCUU
rnacentral:rRNA from 1 species